AUCUACCUAGUAGUACGGAAUAAUUGUUGGAAACGGCAACUAAUACCGUAUACGCCCUACGGGGGAAAAAUUUAUUGCUAUUAGAUGAGCCUAUAUUAGAUUAGCUAGUUGGUGGAGUAAUAGCCUACCAAGGCAAUGAUCUAUAGCUGAUCUGAGAGGAUGAUCAGCCACACUGGAACUGAGAUACGGUCCAGACUCCUACGGGAGGCAGCAGUGGGGAAUAUUGGACAAUGGGCGAAAGCCUGAUCCAGCCAUGCCGCAUGAGUGAAGAAGGCCUUUGGGUUGUAAAGCUCUUUUAGUGAGGAAGAUAAUGACGGUACUCACAGAAGAAGUCCUGGCUAACUCCGUGCCAGCAGCCGCGGUAAUACGGAGAGGGCUAGCGUUAUUCGGAAUUAUUGGGCGUAAAGGGCGCGUAGGCUGGUUAAUAAGUUAAAAGUGAAAUCCCGAGGCUUAACCUUGGAAUUGCUUUUAAAACUAUUAAUCUAGAGAUUGAAAGAGGAUAGAGGAAUUCCUGAUGUAGAGGUAAAAUUCGUAAAUAUUAGGAGGAACACCAGUG
rnacentral:rRNA from 1 species